rnacentral:rRNA from 1 species
CCUACGGGAGGCAGCAGUGGGGAAUAUUGCGCAAUGGACGAAAGUCUGACGCAGCGACGCCGCGUGAGGGAUGAAGGUUUUCGGAUCGUAAACCUCUGUCAGGAGGGAAGAAAGCGCAUGGCGCCAAUCAGCCAUGCGUUGACGGUACCCCCAAAGGAAGCGCCGGCGAACUCCGUGCCAGCAGCCGCGGUAAUACGGAGGGCGCGAGCGUUAAUCGGAAUUACUGGGCGUAAAGCGCGCGUAGGCGGUUGUGUAAGUGAGAGGUGAAAUCCCACGGCUCAACCUGGGAACAGCCCUUGAUACUGGGAGACUUGAGUCCGGGAGAGGGUGGCAGAAUUCCAGGUGUAGGAGUGAAAUCCGUAGAUAUCUGGAGGAACAUCGGUGGCGAAGGCGGCCACCUGGACCGAUAUUGACGCUGAGGCGCGAAAGCGUGGGGAGCAAACAGGAUUAGAUACCCCAGUAGUC